UACAGAGGUCCCAAGCGUUGUUCGGAUUCAUUGGGCGUAAAGGGUGCGUAGGCGGUGGGGUAAGUUGGAUGUGAAAUCUUGGGGCUUAACCUCAAAAUUGCAUUCAAUACUGCUCCGCUCGAGUUCUGUAGAGGAGAUUGGAAUUUACGGUGUAGCAGUGAAAUGCGUAGAUAUCGUAAGGAACGCCAGUGGCGAAAGCGAAUCUCUGGGCAGCAACUGACGCUGGAGGCACGA
rnacentral:rRNA from 1 species